CCUCCUAAGGAGUAAACGUAUCGGUGUAACGGCGUUGAUACCAUAAUUUAAGAGAUGGAAUAUUGGCUCUUAGGGGUUGUGACGUAUGUCGGAGUGAGAUACUGGGCAAGAUAGGCUAUUUAAAAUGCGCACCAACCCAAUGCCCAAUGCUGCGACCAGAAAAUUGUUGACAACUAAAUUUGCAGGGAAAUAGACACAAAAACACUAUAAUUUUUUGUCAUUGGAUUAUUAAUUUAAAGAGCUUAUUAACUGAGUAUACAACUAAUAGUCAUUUAAAAUUUGUUACGUGUCGGUUUGUCAGUCGAGGGUCAACGCCGUCCAGCCAGUACUUUCAUUCACACAAAAACAACACCAAAUCGACACAUCUCUAAACAACGGAUUCCAAAACGGACACAAGGGCCAGGAGCAAAACUACGCAAAACAAAGAUAAGAAAAAAACUAAUAAAACCCAAUAACAACAAAUCGGACAUUAAACGGUGGCAUCGCUGUUGUUUUUGUGGUGCUAUUGAUUAAUUCGCAUUUCACCACCAUAAAAUUUCAUAUGUAAGACGGCACUUAUCCGAACGACGUGGACAUUCACAUCCCCUCCAUAAUCUUAUGAUUAUAACAAUCAAAAUCUAAAAUUUCAUUUCACUAUAGAAUACAAUUCAAUUCAACAAUAUUUUCGCACGAUCGUAAGCAAACGGAGAAUCUUGCCAAACGCUAUUGUCGGUGGCCGCAAGAAUUAACAUAAAAGUUACUUGUCAGUAGUUUGCACCAAUGGAGAACAAGAUACCAACGUAAAUAACAUAUAACCGGGGGGCCUAAUAUGAGUCUGUUUCUGGCUCUGCCUGUUGCUCGGGCCGAAGACAGACGUUAUGGAACGGAGUCAUUCGGUUGACGUUGUCAUUUGCCUCAUCGUCUAUCCGUCUGGAUAAUGCCAGUAAAAAGGGCGCCGAUGAUAUGGCUGACGGGCACCACUGGAGCGAAACAUUGUCUGGGUGGAAACCUGCUGGUCUCUAUGGCUCGAGAACUUCGUGGUCGACCUAAAAUCCUCAGCGUGGAUCUUUUCGUUGCCAGAACCGUUUGCCGUUUUCAUUUGUUGGAUUGUUUAUUACGUUUCGUGUGUCGUAUUUUUUAGUGUCGGUUGUAUAUGUUUUGGAAGUUUGAAUAUCUUUUCUCCGGCAUUACUAAUUUUAUAUGGGCUAUUCAUUUUCUUUUGGUACCAUUUGAAUAUUUUGUUAAAUAUAUUAUUAUUAAUAAGCGUUUUAUAAGUUCCUUGCCAAAUGUAUAUUUCAGGCUACUUAAGCUUUUUUAAUUCGCCGGAAUAAAAAAGAAAAGUGCUACUGGUGCGUUUGAGCAGAGUCCGACUGUCUUGCACCGCCUCAUCAAAAUUGACUUUAUCGUUGCUGCCGAAAGCCUCUCCAUACAAUCAUAUUUUCGGUGAAUUUGCUACCCAUAGUCAGAAUUGGCAUGGGUAAAUCAACGACUGGGUAAAUCGCUCAUUUUUCUGCGAGCGAUUCGGGCGAGCAUCCGCCUACGCACUCCUGCGUUUUUGGUCAAUUCAGUGGAUCCUGAGUUCUACCCAUGCGAAAGGUACUAAUCCUAGCACAGGCUUACUUAUCUACGCACUGGACAGUGAAAAAAACAUUUAAGCGUUCGACAAAUGCUCAGGUCGUCCGUUCAACUGACGAACGGCACUUAAGGAACGCUACCUUGAAGACUUUUAUGUUUCUGUCGCACUUCUGGACACCUUCAGGACAUACUGUGGGACAGGUGCGGCGCAGGAUCGAAUCUAUAUCGUCCUGGGUCACCUGGUUCCGAAGCUCAUACAACCACGGCCAGCAUAUAGCAAACGUAUACCCAGAGUGAGGCAAAACAAAUAGAUAUUUUGUCAUAGCGGCUACCACCAGGCGAAUGAUGAACAGUCACGAACCUUUCGCCAACAUGCGAAACAUGUGACUUACUGCCAUCAACCACUACAAGAAAAACUUCUCGUGCUCAUGGAUAUUCUGUUAAUCUCUAUCUCCGUCGUGCUUCUCGAAUUCCACGACCCGCCGCCCGAUUAUGUGGCACGAACUCGUGGGCAUAAGAUUUCAGCGAUGUGCACCCUAAAGCAAAGAAAGCCCUUUUCUCUGUACCUUCAUUAGAAUCCUAUUAUUUUUUUUUUUUAUAAAUAGCAGCUUGGAGAUAUCCUGCAAGGGAAAAAUAAAUAAGUUUUAAUGUUAAUAGUGAUAAGGAAUGCAACCAAUUAUAUACCGUACCUGAAGAGAGAAA